GGAACAAGUGGAUGCUACUCUCAGUGUCCACUAAACCAUAAGUCCUUUGAGGAUACGGGAAGACAUCCACCAAUCUCAAGAUCGAAAUGCAACAAGGGGAAGUCCGCAAGCAAAGGCGGGGGCUGCGGACCACUGCCUUCUCUUACAAAGAUGGUAGAAUCUCUGGGGAUAGUAAGCAGUUUACUCCUGCAUAGUGUAUAUACGUAGCAAGGGUUCAAGGAAAAUAUUCUUUAUUUAGUUUCACAUUUUAAAAUGUUCUUUGAGUACAAAAAACAACACUAUUAGGAACUGUGUACUUUGAUACAUAUUCUGUCUCUCAGCCUGGCAGUGAUAGGAUUCGAACCCAUGCCCAGCAGACUCCAACACUCCUGCCUUUUUCUUUCUUUCUUUCUUUCUUUCUUUCUUUCUUUCUUUCUUUCUUUCUUUCUUUCUUUCUUUCUUUCUUUCUUCAUAACCUCUAUACCCAAUGUGGGGCUUGAAUACACAACCCCAAGAUCAAGAGUUGCAUGCUCUAUGGACCGAGCCAGCCAGGCACCCCCAACUCCUGCCCUUUUCUUAACAAUAGAAUGCCCUGAAUGGAUUCCCAAGAUCACAGAGUAGCCAUUUAUGAUCAUAUUUUCUUAGUUAUUUCAUUCCACGUUCUAAAACAGGUGUAAUUGUACAUUUUCAGUAAAACAACAACAAAAGAUCUAAAGAGAAUGGGAGGAAAAUUUUUUUUUUUCUGAAUGUUUUAGGUUUUAAUCCCAAAAAGCAACACAUGUACUCUAAGCAUCCCUCUCCCUCUUUGAUUUUACGAUUCCUGUAAUGUUUCCCUGGUCACAACUGCCAGGAAGGGGGUAACUGGGUAAACCCAGAGAGGGUUACCAACAGAUGGCCAAAUCAACAAAAAAAGAUCAAUUUGAAAAUAAAAUGAUUUAAGAUGUGUUGACUACUGGAAAAUCAGGGUGGUUAUGUUAGCACAUGUCCCAAAUAGUGUUCUCCAGCCUGCAAGUUGCUUGCAUUGUCCAACAAAGUAGGAAUGCCCAAGGGAAUAGAACCUUGUCACCUCCCUUGCCUCCUCCCUACUCCCACUGACAAUCCAGCAGAAUUCAGCCCCAAAGGUAGGAGUUUGGUGUUGAUGAGUCUGGACUGGCCCUGGGGCAUCCCAACAACCCUAGCAUGUCUAUUGUCACUCCUCUGGCAAGGCUGUUUUCACAAAGAAAACAUUCUUAAUUAUUCAGUAGGAACUGGGCUAUCAAAACCAAUUACCCACCAGUUAGACAAAUGAAUUCUGCUAGACAAACAUUCCCUUCAAAGCAUGAGGAUGGCUUGACUGUGAUACAGGGUAAAGUGUCCAUUGUCAUAGUCUUCCCUCAACAGGUAGUGGGGCAGGGUGCUUGAUCCCCAAGAAAGUCCAUCCAGAAAAGGAGAAUGACAGUUUCAGGACAUUUCAUGCUG
rnacentral:lncRNA from 1 species